ensembl:lincRNA
AUGACACGAGGUGAGCUGUUCUCCUACAAUUCUCCUGUGUCGAUCUUCACAUCAAGUACUCAGAGGGCAGAAGAGCACACAGGGAAAGAGGCCAGGACCCCAGUCCAUCUGAAGCAAACUCUCAGCUUUCCGAAAGUCCUCACUCUGAUUCCCACCAAUAGGCAAGUGAGUCUUCCUCUUUGCUCUGCCUGGCAUAGGCAGCAGAGGGCUCUGGGUCAUGGUUCAGGCCACAGGCUUGUCCAAGAUACAGUCUCAGGGCCCCCUACCCCAAAGCUACUGAAUCAGAGACUCUGUGGGUGGGGCCUAGAAAUCUACAUCUUAAAAGGCCCUCCAUGUGACUCUCAGUUCAGUUUAGUUCAGUCGAUCAGUCAUGUCCGACUCCUUGUGACCCCAUGGACAGCAGCACGCCAGGCUUCCCUGUCCAUCACCAACUCCUGGAGCUUACUCAAACUCAUCUCCAUAGAGUCGGUGACACCAUCCAACCAUCUCAUCCUCUCUUGUCCCCUUCUCCUCCUGCCUUCAAUCUUUCCCAGCAUCAGGGUCUUUUCCAAUGAGUCAGUUCUUCACAUUAGGUGGCCAAAGUAUUGGAGUUUUGUGACUCUGAGGCACACCUAAGAUUGGGACUUCCCUGGUAGUCCAGUGGUUAAGACUUCACCUUAAUAAUGCAACGGGUGCAGGUUUGAUCCCUGUUCGGGGAGCUAAGCGCCCGUAUACUUUGCAGCCAAAAAACCAAAAUAUAAAACAGAAGGAGUAUUGUAACAAAUUCUUUAUUGUUUGGACCAUUAAAAAUGGUCCACAUUAAAAAAAGAAAAAGAUUAAGACAAGCCAGUGAAGCAGCUGAGAACCUCAAUUCUGGAACCAGACUAUCCCAGUUCUGUCAGAACUUCAAUUCCCUCUUCUGUCACCCCCUACUUGGGUGAUUAUGAGCAAGUUACUUAAAGGGGAGUGUUAGUUGCUCCGUUGUAUCCAACUCUUUGCAACUUCAUGGACUGUAGCCCACCAGGCUACAUGGAAUUCUCCAGGCCAGAAUACUGCAGUGGGUAGCCAUUUCCUUCUCCAGGGGAUCUUCCCAACCCAGGGAUCAAACCCCGGUCUCCUGCAUUGCAGGCAGAUUCUUUAUGGUCUGAGCCACCAGGGAAUAUUCCUUAGUGUUGCUGGAAAGACCAAACAAGCCCCAGUGUGUCAGUGGCUCUUAGUGAAUACCACUUGGCAUUUUAUUAUUCCUAUUUGGGGCACUGAUGGGGUGUAUAUCAUACUCUGUUACCUAACUGAAAUGACUUGUGUCCUUGGGUAUAGCCUGACACUUAAGGGAGCCAGAUAUCUUGUGUGCUCUUUCGGGGCCUAUGGAUCAGUCUAUGGCCCGGAUCUGUGUAAAGUAAUAAGGCCCAUCCUAUAAGCAUCCAGUUCCUCCAGAAAUGAAUUGCGGGCUUUUGUUUCAUUUUGUGCCUUGGUUCUUGGAUACACAGGAGAAGAGCUCCCACCAGACUCCCGCAGACAACACCUACAGCUGGUCCACACCUACAGCCAGGCCCUGCUGUCUGCUGGAGGUCAGUGGGAUUGCGGCAUCCCACUGCAGGUACAAGUUCAAGGAUUCCCCUGGAUACUUGUUGAGUGAUAUCAAGAAGCUCAAGGGGUCCUUUCAGAGGAUGCUUUCAAAUCUGACCCCAUCCCACCUGGAAGGACCCAGAAGGGAUCAUUGGAAAGUGGGAAGAAGAUAUCCUUCUCCCUGCCUGCCACUGGGCUGGUCUCUAGCUCCAGCUGCAGGGAGGACAGUGGUUGAGCCGAGCCAGGUCUUACUAACAUCAUCAAAGUGAAGACUCCUUAUAAUUAGGAGAAGACAUUCGAUGGAAGCUGUCAUAAACACAGGCUCUCUGGUCAACCAGACACAGGGUUCUGACUCCAGACUCUGCCACUUACCAGCAGCAGGACCUCAGGCAACUUAGUUAACUAACCUCUCCAAGCCUUCUUGUCUUAUUUCUGAUAUGGGAAAUGGAAAGAACCACGCUGGACUGAUGUGAACACUCAAUGAGAUAAUGCACUUGUAACCUCUUGGCACUGUGUCUGGCACACAGUAAGAACUUCACAGAUAAUUACGAUCACUAUCUUUAUGACUAUCAGUAGCUCUGGAACUGGAGCUGCCAGGGUGGCUCUAGUGGUAAAGAACCGGCCUGACAAUGCAGGAGAUAUAAGAGACACGGGUUCAAUUCCUCCGUUGGGAAGAUCCUCAGGAGAAGGGCAUGGCAACCCACUCCAGUAUUCUGGCCUGGAUAAUCCCACGCACAGAGGAGCCUAGUGGGUUACAGUCCAUGGGGUUGCAAAGAGUUGGACAGGACUGAAGCGACUUAGCACACACAGCUCUGGAAUUACCAUAAGAACAUGAGUUAGAAGCUCAGGAAAGGAGAUAGCAGCCUUGAAUCUGCCUUGGAUAACAGUCAUGUGGACCCUGGAGAGCUGCCCAUACUCCAGUGAGUAAUAUUCUGACCUUGGGGGCAACAAAUGUCCAAUGAUCCAUCAGCUCCUGGACCAGAUGUGACCAGGGGGUGUUAAAAGACUUCCUCUCCUCCUGAAGCAGUGAGAAUAUUUUUGCUGGGACAGAUCCUGAUAACUAUUACUGAUUGGAUGGCACACCUCUCUUUGCUACGUUCCUUAAAAACCUGCUUCCCCUACCCACCGCGAACUUUAACAGUUGCCCUCGGGCAGCUCUCGGGGCGGGGGGCAGGGAGGGGAAUCCGGAAGUUUUUAAUAGCAGCUUCACCGAGGCAGCGCCGGGAAGGGAGGGGUCCUCGUUACUAGCUGAACAGGCUGCCUCCUAGAGAGAGAACAUACCGUCAGCGCACUACCGAAGCGCGUUAGCUCCAGACCUAAGGCCUCGACUUUUGCAGACGUUUAAGCCCGCCAAUGGCCCCUCCCUGUCCGACCCCACCAAAGGCUAAGCUGUAAGAGCUAUUUCCUCCCUUAAGUCGCCUGCGCCUCCAGUCCCAUUCGGCCGCGAGUCUAGUUUCCGCACUUGGGGCCAACUGGCCAGGUAAUGAUGCCUGCACGCGGAGACCUGGAGCCAGCUGUGCUGACGUGUUUCCACGAUAAAAGCAAACUUACAGCUGGAGCACAGAAAAGAAGCCGGGGAUUCUUUCCAGCAGCCCCGGCCUCCUGGCCGAGACGGGGCAGGAAGAGUAACAGGGAGCGCGCGGGAGCCAGGAGAUCUGCCUCCCGCCCCGCGCGCCGGGCCCCCCGGGGGGGACCGGCUGAACCCCGUGGGCAUCCGCGUGCGUCCUUACCGUUUAGUUGCCGGUAGACAAUGUCCUCGAGCAGCGAGAGGCGCUUCAGGACCGCAUCCUGGAUGGGGCUGGCGCUGUGCGCGCUAAGGUUAGCGGCCUCGGCCCGCGGCCGAAUCUCAUGGAAGGAGUCUCCGCUGCGCACCGAGAUGGGCCGGCACUUGGCCAAGAAGAGCACGAAGCCGGCCACCGCGAUCAAGUUCAACACCAACAGCACUUUGACUCUUCUCAGUGAAGCCAUCAAACACGCCCAGCCGGGGGUCCGUAGGUCACGCGUCUUGCUCACGGUAUUUGCAUAGUCACGACUGACACGCAGC